rnacentral:rRNA from 1 species
GAACGCUGGCGGCGUGCUUAACACAUGCAAGUCGAACGGAAAGGCCCUGCUUUUGUGGGGUGCUCGAGUGGCGAACGGGUGAGUAACACGUGAGUAACCUGCCCUUGACUUUGGGAUAACUUCAGGAAACUGGGGCUAAUACCGGAUAGGAGCUCCUGCUGCAUGAUGGGGGUUGGAAAGUUUCGGCGGUUGGGGAUGGACUCGCGGCUUAUCAGCUUGUUGGUGGGGUAGUGGCUUACCAAGGCUUUGACGGGUAGCCGGCCUGAGAGGGUGACCGGCCACAUUGGGACUGAGAUACGGCCCAGACUCCUACGGGAGGCAGCAGUGGGGAAUAUUGCACAAUGGGCGGAAGCCUGAUGCAGCAACGCCGCGUGCGGGAUGACGGCCUUCGGGUUGUAAACCGCUUUCGCCUGUGACGAAGCGUGAGUGACGGUAAUGGGUAAAGAAGCACCGGCUAACUACGUG